CUGCAAUUUGUUUUCCAGAUCAGGGAGUAGCUGCCAGCAGGAGCUGCUCACAUGGAAAGACAGUAGUUGUUUACCUGCACUGCAGAGCCAGACCAGGGAGGACAGAACCUGAUCCUGCCCAGCUGUGACAACUGUUUAUCAGCUGCCAAGAGAGAUCCUGUGAAUCUCACUGCAAAAGACAGAUAUUCCUCUUCAGAUAUAAGAUGAUUUCACACUUACUGUAAACUUUGGGGUUUCCCUAACUAUCAACAUGAUGGCCGGAAAGAGAGGAAGGAUUCCUAUUGGCAGUCUCGUUGGUGAAAGCUGUAACAUAAGAAUCUGGAUCACACCCAGUAAGAGAACUAAAACCAGCACUAUGUCAAGACAGCAUAAC